rnacentral:rRNA from 1 species
AUUGAACGCUGGCGGCAGGCCUAACACAUGCAAGUCGAACGAGUGGCGGACGGGUGAGUAAUGUCUGGGAACCUGCCCGAUGGAGGGGGAUAACUACUGGAAAGGGUAGCUAAUACCGCAUACCAUCGGAUGUGCCCAGAUGGGAUUAGCUAGUAGGUGGGGUAACGGCUCACCUACGCGACGAUCCCUAGCUGGUCUGAGAGGAGGACCAGCCACACUGGGACUGAGACACGGUCCAGACUCCUACGGGAGGCAGCAGUGGGGAAUAUUGCACAAUGGGGGCAAGCCUGAUACAGCCAUGCCGCGUGUAUGAAGAAGGCCUUCGGGUUGUAAAGUACUUUCAGCAGGGAGGCGUUACUCGCAGAAGAAGCACCGGCUAACUCCGUGCCAGCAGCCGCGGUAAUUC